rnacentral:rRNA from 1 species
GAUGAACGCUGGCGGCGUGCCUAAUACAUGCAAGUCGAGCGAACAGACGAGGAGCUUGCUCCUCUGACGUUAGCGGCGGACGGGUGAGUAACACGUGGAUAACCUACCUAUAAGACUGGGAUAACUUCGGGAAACCGGAGCUAAUACCGGAUAAUAUAUUGAACCGCAUGGUUCAAUAGUGAAAGACGGUUUUGCUGUCACUUAUAGAUGGAUCCGCGCCGCAUUAGCUAGUUGGUAAGGUAACGGCUUACCAAGGCGACGAUGCGUAGCCGACCUGAGAGGGUGAUCGGCCACACUGGAACUGAGACACGGUCCAGACUCCUACGGGAGGCAGCAGUAGGGAAUCUUCCGCAAUGGGCGAAAGCCUGACGGAGCAACGCCGCGUGAGUGAUGAAGGUCUUCGGAUCGUAAAACUCUGUUAUUAGGGAAGAACAAAUGUGUAAGUAACUAUGCACGUCUUGACGGUACCUAAUCAGAAAGCCACGGCUAACUACGUG